rnacentral:rRNA from 1 species
UACGUAGGGGGCAAGCGUUGUCCGGAAUUAUUGGGCGUAAAGCGCGCGCAGGCGGUCAUUUAAGUCUGGUGUUUAAUCCCGGGGCUCAACCCCGGAUCGCACUGGAAACUGGAUGACUUGAGUGCAGAAGAGGAGAGUGGAAUUCCACGUGUAGCGGUGAAAUGCGUAGAGAUGUGGAGGAACACCAGUGGCGAAGGCGACUCUCUGGGCUGUAACUGACGCUGAGGCGCGAAAGCGUGGGGAGCAAACAGG